AGCGAACGCUGGCGGCAGGCCUAACACAUGCAAGUCGAACGAAGUCUUCGGACUUAGUGGCGGACGGGUGAGUAACACGUGGGAACGUACCUUUUGGUUCGGAACAACUCAGGGAAACUUGAGCUAAUACCAGAUGAGCCCUUAGGGGGAAAGAUUUAUCGCCGAAAGAGCGGCCCGCGUUAGAUUAGCUAGUUGGUGAGGUAAAGGCUCACCAAGACUACGAUCUAUAGCUGGUCUGAGAGGAUGAUCAGCCACACUGGGACUGAGGCACGGCCCAGACUCCUACGGGAGGCAGCAGUGGGGAAUCUUGCGCAAUGGACGAAAGCCUGACGCAGCCAUGCCGCGUGAAUGAUGAAGGUCUUAGGAUUGUAAAAUUCUUUUACCAGGGACGAUAAUGGCGGUACCUGGAGAAAAAGCCCCGGCUAACUUCGUGCCAGCCGCCGCAGUAAAAC
rnacentral:rRNA from 1 species